GAGGAGGUAUUUUUAUCUCUGACCAAUUUAAAGUCCUUGGAGCUUCAUAGGAACCCCUGGAGAUGUGACUGCAAUCUCAAAUCUUUCAGAGAGUGGAUAGUAGCCAGGGGUCUGUACAACUAUCCAACUACCUGUAAGGAACCUGAAAGAUUGGCUGAGAAGCUUUGGGAUAAUAUUCCAAGCACGGAGUUUGCAUGCAAGCCCAAGAUCCAAGUAUCUCAAGGAAGAGUGUACAGUCAACCAGGAACCAAUGUCACGCUGGGCUGUCUUAUAAAAGGAAACCCGAUCCCGGAGGCUAAAUGGGUUCUCAGGGGAAGAAUAGUGAAUAAUAAUACUAGUCCUUCUGGUUCAAAUACACAAAUCUACCUUAUACAUGAAUUAGGAGGUCUGGAGAGAUGGUUUAAUCUUACAGUUGUAAAUCUUCAGGAGGAGGAUGCUGAUGAUUAUACUUGUGUUGCUGUAAACGCAGGCGGGGUCUCAGAACAGAAUGUUUCUCUAACAUUUGAUACUCCAGUCAUACUUGGAGAUAGUCAGGAACCCAGGGAGAAAAAAGAAGAUGAAAUGAGAACAGUUUUGGCUGUGGCUGGAGGAUGUAUGUUAACCCUACUAAGUGUAUCCCUGGUAUCCUAUAUCUGCUGUAGUACCAGGAGAAGACGAGGACAAGCACAAAAUGACUCUCAGAAUAUCAUGGAACCAGGGUUCUCUGAUAGCCAUCGACUUCUAGAACCAAGAGGAAUUCUGAAAAACAGAGGAAAUCCGGGAGAUGAAAAGGACCGAAAUAUCGAUUUUGAAUCCUACCCUGAUCUACUAAAUACAACGGAUAAAUCUGAUCGACUAACUCUUGGGAAUACUUCUGGACACAUGCAGACACUAUUAGACGCCAAUCAGGCUCCUGACCAACCUCUGGAUCCGAAUCAUCUACCCUGCUGUACCUGCUAUACAGCACCACAAGCAGCAGUCAUGGAAAUCAACUGCACUUGCCCCACAUCUGUUCCAAGUAACUUUACUAUACCAACAGCAGCUAUCCUGCCUCCACCACCCAGCUUUCUAGCCCCGUACACCUCACCUGUACAGACAGUUCCCUUGCAGACUGGAGGAAAAGAAGGAAACCGGUUUAUCACCCUUCCUAGACACACCAGACAAAAGGGCGAGAUUUGUAGAGAGGAGGGAAAUUCCAAAAAUAUCAAUAGGCAGAACCUUACAGAUCUGAAAUCUAAGGUGAUGGUGGAUAUCCCUCCUGUACCGCCCCCUGUGCAGUUUACAACAUGCUGCACUAACCCCCUCUGUGAUCAGAUUUAUAAACAAAACAUUUGGGUGAAAACCCAGAACUCUUGUCAAACCUUACCAAACCCCAAAAAUAGAAACAUGGCAAGCAUCAAGACAAACACAAGAGAAUUUUAAAUAAAUAAUGUGGAAAAUUCUAAAAACUAAGAACAUUAAGAAAAUAUUUUUUAAAUACAAUAUGGCGCGUGAGAAUGAGACCGACAAGACAUGGUGGCUGAGUUGAAAGUGUAGUAUUAACUUUAGGAUUCAUUCAAUACCAUACGGUGUACAGUUUUUGAAGAAGUCGUUUAUAAUAUUUCACCUGUAGAUUCAGUCAUCAAAAGAAAGUUAUUUUUACAAUUCUUAAAUAACUAGGACAAAACAUUAAAAAAAUAUACACCGUAAAAAUGUUUCAUUGGUAUCAAAUAAAUUCUAAAUACAUGCUCUUUCAGCUCAAGUAAAGAUUUCUCUGAAAAUAUUGAAAGAUACGAAAAUAAUGUUCUAGCUGAGCUUUUAUUGUUUAUUUUAAAGUCUAUAAACUUUAUAGAUCAUCAAAUCAUAAAUGUUAUGUAUAACAUAUUACCUUACCUGUAACUUCAAAUACCUUUAAAUAUUUGUAAAAAAAAUACGUAAUUCGAAUUCCAAUUUUUUAAUUUUGUUAUAAAUAGAAAUGGAAACUCCUCAUGAGUCAAACUAAACCAAGGCUUCAGCUUACAUUUAUUUGUAUAUAUAUAAAGUAUCGUUAAAAACGUGAUGCUUUUCAAGCAAAUAUGAUCGUACUUUAAAAUAUAACUUAUUUCAACAUCAGUUCAAUAAGAUAUUUUUUCUAAACGCAGUUUUACUCAUUUAUAAUCGUUUUGAUUAGAUUUUUACAACUUCUAUUAAACUUCAAGUAUUUCGAAUUUACAACAUAUUUUUAUCCUAAGAGAAAUAAUAAAAAUGCAACAAAAACGGUCGUGUUUGGUUCGUUUUUUUCUUAUUUUUCCUCUCAGGGUUAACCUUUGGCAUAGAUUAGCAGUUGUUAAAAAAAACACUUUAACUUUGUGUCUCCUUUUAAGGAACCAAGACGAUUAAAAAACCAUAUUUGUACUUUUCACUGUCACAACCAAUAAGUAAAGUGAAAUCUCUGCGUAGUGCACAGAAUCUAUUUCCUUUAUUACUUUAAAUAUAUUAACCAGUUUUUAGGAAAUAUUUUAUGAAAACAAGGUGAUAAAAUAUGAAUUGAGGCUUGGUGGAUUUUUGUACAAGCUAAUUAAAGUGUUAAGAUUUUAGCACUCAAGAUUUUAGAAGCGAACCAAAUUUUUGGGGGAAAAUUUUAUUUGAACACGAAAAAAGACAUAUCUGUCUGGCAUUGUUAAAUAAUUAUUGUAAAUAACCUGCGUGCGUAAAUGACUUAAAUAUAGCUUACAAAUAAAAUAAUAUAUCUGACCUACUGCAAACUUAACAUACAGGGUGUCUCACUAAACAUGUCAUUUUCCAGACCAGAUUAAUGAAUAUCAUAUCCUCUACUGGAAAAAUUGGCGACAUUUAUAAUUCAUAAUUCAAUAUUUUGUAAACCAUCCAAAUAAAAUUUCUUUAGACCUGACAUUUCAAAAAUGUGGUUUACUUUUUUGUGUUUUCAAAAUGACCGCAGAUGUAAAGUAACAGAAUUAAAAGUUUGAAAUAUCAGAGAUCCAGAGAGAAUCUGAGUUUGUGUCAAAAACUAAAUUCCUUUGUUUUAAAAUACAAUAUCAUGGGAAUUUUAUGAAAGGUUGUGCAAUCUUUUUAGCCUCUUAAGUUUUUUCAUGUAAAGUGAGACGGGCCAAGAAAGUUCUAUGAAAAAAGUUUUUGAGAAUAAAUUUUCUUAAAUCUAAAUUAAAGAAUCCAAAACGAAGGAUUUUAUUUCCAAAGAUAUUUUGUUUAGAACUUCAGGAUAUUUGGGACUUUUCAUUCAAGUUUUUGUUUCCAGGCUUUUAUUUUGAGAAACUUUUUUCCUGUAACUUUCUUCCGUGAAGUGGGACACCCUGUAGUCCCUCAGAGAACAAACAAAGUAUAAUACCAAAUUUAUGAUCUAACGAUAGCCAUCAUUACUUUAAAUAAUUUGUUAUAUAAAAAUGGAAAAUUAAAUGGUAUGUUUUGUGUUAUGAUCGUUAAAAAAGAAUGAUUAAUCUGUGUUUUUGUUCAGUAAAAACCAGAAAGUUCUGGAAUAGAAAGACGACUUUAUUACUCGGUUAAUCGACAAAUGAACAUGAGACACCGCAAUUUUGCACUGAACACAAACACAUUUCACUAAAUAAUUGAUUUUAAAAGUUAUAUUAGUAUAACUAUUUGCUUUUUUAUGUCAAUGUCGUCUUCCUAUUCCACGGUCUCUUCUGGUUCUCACUAAAGAUCAUCACAAUUCAGCUGCAGUAUCAUAAUCAAAAUAUGUAAAUAUUGUUAGUUUUGUUAAAUAGAACAUGUACUUUGUGAUGUCAUUUUAAUAUUAUCAAAUAUCAAAUAUCAAAAUGAUAUCAUAAUUUGUGUUAGAAAUCCGAAAGUAUUUACUAUUAGUUUUGAAUAUAAAUAAAAUUGAAAAAAUACCA